GCAACCUCUUUCUGGGCUGGAUUUGCAACCCACCCAAGGCCUGUCUUGCUCCCCACCCUCCCCACCCCAUCCUACCAGCCCUGGUCUCACCCCACAGACACACCCAUAGGUACAUGUCCCUCUAGAGGAGGAGAGACACGGUAGAUGGUUUUCUUUUGCACGAAGCCCGGCACUAGAACAUUUGUGACGAAGACUUUGCAGGAACCUAGACCCGGGAGCUGUAUCUCUUCUCACUCUUUCUCUCUGCUGAAGAAGAAUGGCCCAGCAAAUAGUGUCACAGAGAACAUGCAGAGAGGCAUUAAGUCCUCAUGGUCCAGCUCCAUCGAGGGGGCAGGCAGAUGAAAGCAGAAGCAGGAAAGGUCACACUUACAAGAGAAGUGGUGGCUCUCCCCAGGCCUGUGAGUCAGAGAUUCUCUGUGUGGCGGGAUGGCUUAUCCAGCCACGCACAGGAAAGAGAAAACACACGCACAUCACACAGCCGGAAAUUUACUGUGACACCGUGCUGUCAUAGGUCUGUCUCUUAAGGGCAGCAAAGAAUAGCUCAGAAUUUAAUGCAUCGGAGGAUGUUAGAGGGAAUCAAAAGGAAAUUGUGUGCUGCACUGGGGAAUCGGUCGCAUAAAUGUGACGGUAUGAGCGAGCAGCCAGAGGCAUGAUCUGGGGCAUAACAUAAGGCCUGUUUAUGUGUGAGACUGAUUCCUCUUUUAAAAAAAAAAGAAGAAGAAAAGUGAAGUUUAAAACCAGACCAUGCAAAUGACUUUACCUCUGGUUUUUUUUUUUUUUUUUCAAGUUAAUGAAGUGCACACAGACUCUAAAGGCCUUAAUAAAAAAAUCCACACAACGUUGCCUGUCACGAUUACAAACGUACAACCUAGCCCAGCCAUGGAUGCCCUGACAGAGAUUUAGGGCAGGGCCGAGGGCACCUUAAGAAGAUAGCGCUUUUAGUGAACACAGAGGACUUAGAUACGCUGUCUGGUGUAGAACUUCACAACACAGAAACAAAAGGUUCAGGAUGUACCUAGGAAGCGCAAGGCCCUGGGUUCGGUCCCCAGCUCCGAAAAAAAAGAACCAAAAAAAAAAAAAAAAAAAAAAAAAAAAAGGUUCAGGAUGCUCCGUGGGUGACCAGGUCUUGAAGAUGCAAAUUCACGUGCAGAAAGAGGUAGCAUGUUUAGCUUUUAUAUGUGUAUAUAUAUAUAUAUAUAGAGAGAGAGAGAGAAUUUUUUUUUUAACCAAGUGCCAUUAACAUUCAUCCCUCAUGUCUCUUUUCCAAACAAGCAGUGUUGGGGAAGGACCUGGGAUGGAGCAUGUAAGGCAGAAUAGGUUAGGAUGCCGAAGGCCAAAGGUAAGGCCGAGAGGGUCUGAGGAAGUGUUUGGAGGACGCUGGGAAGGUUCACGGAGAAGAGCCUCAGGACUCCACGUCCUGUAGGAAGGAGAAGGUGUUCGAGUCUGCUACACGCAGCGCACGUACCCGUAAGGACGUGGGCUGUUCAGAAACACAAUCACAGGAGCACGCGUCUUUUAAGAGGAAGAAGACCAUAGAGUAUAUUUGCAAAUCUGAAUUUCUAUUUAUUCCCUCAUGGAGUAUAGAAGCAAUGGUUAUCUGAUUAUUAGAGAUAUUAUUUUGGAUAUGUUACUUAUUAACGCGCUAUGGCUGGUAACCAUGAUAAAGUCUGUUAUUAGUAACAACAUAAUUCUUUUUUUAAAAAAAAAAAGGGAAA
rnacentral:lncRNA from 1 species